rnacentral:misc_RNA from 1 species
UUAUGGUCUACCUGACACAAGAUGUAAAAUUGUUAACUGGCCAUAUUUGGUAUUCCAGUACGAAAGUCAAUGAGAGAUUGUAAUUACAGAAUAAAGUGGAAUAACAAAUUAGGAUUAGCCUUUUUUGUUUAUGCAAGGGAAAUCUUCUAAAGAUCGCCUCUUUGGAAAAGAGGCCUGGGCACAUUUAAAUCUUUAAAUAAGGCGUGGGCCAUCAC